UACGUAGGUGGCAAGCGUUGUUCGGAAUUAUUGGGCGUAAAGGGCGCGUAGGCGGCUUGUUAAGUCAGUUGUGAAAGCCCGGGGCUCAACCCCGGAGGGUCGACUGAUACUGGUGAGCUGGAGUACAGAAGAGGUAGCUGGAAUUCCCGGUGUAGCGGUGAAAUGCGCAGAUAUCAGGAGGAACACCGGUGGCGAAGGCGGAUCUCUGGGCCAUUACUGACGCUGAGGAGCGAAAGCGUGGGGAGCGAACAGG
rnacentral:rRNA from 1 species